rnacentral:rRNA from 1 species
GCACCGAGCCCACCGUCGCUCCCGCUGCUGGGCCACCUCCACCUGAUCAAGAAGCCGCUGCACCGCUCGCUGGCCACGCUGGCCGCCUCGGUGCACGGCCGCGGCGGGGCCCUGGCGCCGCUCGUGUCGCUGAGGCUCGGGGCGCGCCCGGCGCUCCUCGUGUCCACGCACGCCGCCGCCGAGGAGUGCUUCACGGUGCACGACGCCGCCCUGGCGGCACGGCCGCGGCUGCUCGUGGGGAAGCACCUGGGGUACAACUACACGGCGAUCACCUGGGCCUCCCACAGCGCCUACUCGAUCGGCCUCCGCCGGUUCCUCGCCGGCAAUAUCUUCUCGGCGCCCCGCCUCGAGGAACGCGCGGCCGACCGCCGUGCCGAGGUCACGUCCCUCGUGGAUAAUCUGCUCCACGACGCGGCGGCCGGCGGCGCGGCGGGGGUCACGGUCACCCUCCGCCCUAGGAUCUUCGAGCUGGUGCUUAACGUGAUGAUGCGCGCCGUGACGGCACACGGGCACGCCGGCGACGUGCGCAGGUUCCAGGAGUUCGUCGAGGAGUCGUACGUGGUGGUCGGCGCGCCCAGCGUCGGGGACUUCUUCCCGGCGCUGCGGUGGGUCGACCGUCUGCGCGGCAUCGACGCCGCGUACGCGAGGCUGCAGACGAAGCGUGAUGCGUUCGUGGCAGGCCUCGUCGACGACCACAGACGGAGGCGCGGCAACGCCGGCGGCGACGGAGACACGACCAGCGUCAUCGACGAGCUGUUGGCGCUGCAGGAAACCGAUCCCGAGUACUACACCGACAACGUCGUCAAGGGCAUCGUCUUGGUGCUGUUCACCACCGGGACUGACACGACGGCGCUGACCGUCGAGUGGACGAUGGCGCUGCUGCUGAAGCACCCGGAGAUGCUGCAGAAGGCGAGGGACGAGAUAGACGCCAACGUCGGCGCGGGGCGGCUGGUCGAGGAGUCGGACAUGGCCAACCUCCCCUACCUGCACUGCGUCGUGAAGGAGAGCCUCCGGCUGUGCCCCGUCGGCCCGCUCAUCCCGGCGCACGAGGCCAUGGAGGACUCGACGGUGGGCGGCUUCAGGGUCCGGCGCGGCACGAUGAUCCUCGUGAACUCGUGGGCGAUCAACCGGGACGCCGACGCCUGGGACUCCCCGGGGGAGUUCCGACCGGAGCAGUUCUUGGACGCCGACAUGGCCAAGGCCGCGCCCAUGCUGCCGUUCGGGCUCGGCCGGAGGCGGUGCCCGGCGGAAGGGCUGGGCAUGCGCCUUCUUGGCUUCACGCUGGCGGCGCUCGUGCAGUGCUUCGAGUGGGAUGCCGGAGGAGGCCGUGCCAUUGACAUGGCCGAAGGUGGCGGCCUAAGCAUGCCAAUGGCCACGCCGUUGGCGCUUGUCUGCCGGCCCCGAGGAUUCGUCAAGGGCUUGCUCUCUGCUUCCGCUUGA